rnacentral:rRNA from 1 species
AGAGUUUGAUCCUGGCUCAGAGUGAACGCUAGCGGUGCGCCUAACACAUGCAAGUCGCGCGGCCCGCAAGGGCAGCGGCGAACGGCUGCGUAACACGUUGGUACCUACCCCGCACUCAGGGAUAACCUGCCGAAAGGCGGGCUAAUACCGGAUAGUUCCCGUGAGGGUAAAGCUUCGGCGGUGCGGGAGGGGCCUGCGGCCUAUCAGUUUGUUGGCAGGGUAACGGCCUACCAAGACUAUGACGGGUAGCUGGUCUGAGAGGACGACCAGCCAGAAUGGGACUGCGACACGGCCCAUACUCCUACGGGAGGCAGCAGUGAGGAAUCUUCCGCAAUGGGCGAAAGCCUGACGGAGCGACACCGCGUGAAGGAUGAAGCCCUUUCUGGGUGUAAACUUCUGUUCUGAGGGACGAAAUUUUUGACGGUACCUCAGGAGAAAGCACCGGCUAAUUCUGUGCCAGCAGCCGCGGUAAGACAGAAGGUGCAAGCGUUACUCGGAAUUACUGGGCGUAAAGCGUCCGCAGGUCUUCCUGUAAGUCUGGCGUGAAAUCGCGGAGCUCAACUCCGCGCACGUGCCGGAAACUGCAGGAAUAGAGUCACUCAGAGGCAUCUGGAAUGCUGUGUGUAGGGGUAAAAUCCGUUGAUCCACAGUAGAACGCCAAAAGCGAAGGCAGGGUGCUGGGGGUGUACUGACACUCAUGGACGAAAGCGUGGGGAGCAAACGGGCUUAGAUACCCCGGUAGUCCACGCCCUAAACGAUGCGUGCUCGGUG